rnacentral:rRNA from 1 species
CACGUGAGGGGCAAGCGUUGUCCGGAUUUAUUGGGCGUAAAGAGCUCGUAGGUGGUUCGGUAAGUCGGGUGUUAAACCCCCAGGCUCAACCUGGGGACGCCACUCGAUACUGCUGUGACUAGAGUCCGGUAGGGGAGCGUGGAAUUCCUGGUGUAGCGGUGAAAUGCGCAGAUAUCAGGAGGAACACCAGCGGCGAAGGCGGCGCUCUGGGCCGGUACUGACACUGAGGAGCGAAAGCGUGGGUAGCAAACAGG